rnacentral:lncRNA from 1 species
ACGCCCCAAGUAUCCGUACGUGUUUCUUCUCUUUCAUGGAGUAGAUGCCUCAACUAUCCAACCCAUGAGUGCAGAAAAAAUAUUGCGGUAAAAAAAAAUAAUUUCUCUUCCCGCAAGUCUGUCGAUGGUGAUGAAAGUAUUUUGAUUAACGUAUUUUAAUAUAAGAUCACUGUGAUGGAGUGAUGUUGGAUAUCCAUCCUC